UUGUCACAGUUCUCCUAGUGCGUAGGCGGCGAGGAAGUGAGUCAUGUUGUCAACUAAAAUGGAAGUGAGAUUCAUUAAUCGGUUUUCAAAUCGCUCGAUUUUUUUAAUGGCGUCAAGAAAAUAUCACAAAUGUCACACAAUCUUCACUGUUCUCAGAAACUUUUAAAGCUAUUUUAGUAUUUUUUUUCAUGAAAAUGAUCGUAAUACUCGUUAUUAUGGCCUGAACUAGAAUUUUCGAUAUUUGUGGACAUUAAGUCCACUUUUUCGAUGUUUUAGGUGAUAGAAAUGAGGCUCUGGAGCUAUAUGUGUUCUAAAUUAAUGGUUUGGUCAAAAAUUCAGGAGAAGUUGGAUCAAGUCUCAAAAGAAAGGGCGACUUCAAUAUCAAAUACAACCCUAUGUACAACAACAAAGCCGGAUUCAUUCUUUUAAUUUGAUUUUAUUCUGUAUCUAUUAAAUAAAAAAAACUUAAAAUUAA